UCCUUCUGCACUUUGGAGUUAGAGCAAGGCGCCUGGAUCCUCUGGGGAGCGGCUGUGGCCCCUUUCCAGCCUCACCCCAGUGCUUAUGGAGGGCAGGGAACAUCGUCCUUGAGCUCUCAUCUCAAGGCUGACAAAAACCAGCUCUGGAACCGUCUGUGAGGGGUGGCGGGGAGGGCAGGGCCAUGUGGGGGAGUGGGUAGAUCCAGGAUGAGUGAACUAAGGGAGUGGAAGUAAUGUCAGAGGGUGGCUGAGGGGCUGAGCUCAGUACGGACUUGGUGACCUCCUGCUCCCCAUCUGAGGCCCAGGGCCCACAGACAGGCGGUGGAGCUGAAGUUCAGUUUCCAAGUUUAUUGCCGGGACCUAGGGAGGAGCUGGCUGAUGGACAGGCCUCUCGAAGACGUGUCCGACCUCUGGCCUGGGGUCCAGCCAGGCCUGACCCUGGUCUCUGUGGUCGUGAGGCAGGUCAGGCAGCAUGAAGAGAUCUGCCUUCUCAGGGUUUGGGUCACUGCAGGCAGGGACAGCUCGAGGCCUUCACUUCAUCCUGGAUGGCCUGGGCCUCCUCCUGGAUCGCCUGGGCUCCCUCCUUCAGGCUCCGAUACAACAAGAAUCCUGUGCAUCUUCUGGCCAAGUAACCACAGACAUGGUUCUUCUUCACACUGA
rnacentral:lncRNA from 13 species